CCGGGCUAACAAAACCCCGGGCCGAGUUGGCCCGGGUCCAGCAACCGCGCUGUUUGGUUGCCCACGGGUGAGGGAAACCGGUCCCUUCCGCGGCCUUUCCCCGGGCCACCAUUCCACUAGUCCGGACAUGGGGAACGAAUUCCUCGAGUGGCUCUCGGGCGACGCUGCGGGUGGCGAUGCAUCCACGUGCUGCUCUACUUCCUCCGGCGACCGGAGCGAGGCGCCUCCCGAGAUCUGCGCCUCCACGGUCCUCCACCUCCUUCCGCUGAGCUCUACUCCGCCUCCGUCGAAGCUCCUCUCCCCUCCGGCAAUGGCGACGGUGGUCUUCCUCGGGGAACGGCGACGGUGGUCUUCCUCCGGGAAUGGCGACGGUCCUCCUCUCCUCCGGUGACGAACCGAGUCCUCUAGUCACUGGAGAGCACAACCUCCUCCUCCAUCUCUUCCCUCUACAUCCUCAGAUCUACUGGUGCUACAUCAGAUCUUGCAAGCGAAUCUGCAGCAUAAAUUAUUGGAGGAUGCAACUUGGAGAACAAUAUUAUUAAUCAGUCCUAAGGUCACAUCUUAACCCACUUGCUGGCCAGUCCUGUAAGUACCCGUACUGAUUUUUUGACAAAUAUUUAGUGCCCAGAAUACAACCUGGAGAUGAUAUUCUUGUUACCGCGCAUGCAAGUAUAUUGUUUCAUGUAGCCUAGAAGUGAGCAUGAAAGUAUCUUGUUUGUUGAAUUUGUUCUUGUAGUAUUAGCAUGGAGAUGUUGUAAUAGUCUGACUUGUUGCCAUGGCAUUGUGUUGACUUCGGUUGUUACUCUCCACUAAAGUUUAAUGAUUCCGUAAGUGUGGACUUUCAAGUAUGUUUGUGACUCACUAAUCUCUGUCAGUACUUGUCAUUCUCAGAUCACCGGUGAGAACAUCAGCACAACCUUCUUCCCCUUCUCUUCCCGAUUUAGAUUCCCCAUGAGGUUGUCGAGAUCAAGGCCAGCCUGCGUCCCGAGAUCCAGGUUGCUGCUCAGGACUGCCGGGUGGUGGUGCUUUCACCGGUGAAGUCAGACAGGGAUGAUCCACCAGGGGAUGAGUAGAAGAAGGCCAUGCAAAAAAGCUCAUGGACUCCCCAGCGAACUGUUUUCUUCGAUUUCAUGUUAAAAACUUCUAUGCUACUCAAGUUUAAUUGAUGCUAUCUGGCUUCGUGCAAUUUAGAUAAUUGACAUGUAUUAGUUAUUGUUGCAAGAUGUUUCUUUUUGUAAGAUUUUCUGCAAGACUUUCUACCUUUUUAAUUAAUUCUGCCUGGAGAUGUAAAGAUUGGUUGAAUAUGUUGUGUAUUUCGAAUUAUAAGUAUUUCUUGAUAUUUCUGUAUUAA